rnacentral:tRNA from 1 species
GCCCCAGUAGCCCAAUGGCAGAGGCAGAGGACUUAAAAUCCUUGUGUUGUGGGUUCGAGUCCCACCUGGGGUA